UACAGAGGGUGCAAGCGUUAAUCGGAAUUACUGGGCGUAAAGCGUGCGUAGACGGUUACAUAAGUCGGGUGUGAAAUCCCCGGGCUCAACCUGGGAACUGCAUCUGUGACUGCAUCGCUGGAGUGCGGCAGAGGGGGAUGGAAUUCCGCGUGUAGCAGUGAAAUGCGUAGAUAUGCGGAGGAACACCGAUGGCGAAGGCAAUCCCCUGGGCCUGCACUGACGCUCAUGCACGAAAGCGUGGGGAGCAAACAGG
rnacentral:rRNA from 1 species